rnacentral:tRNA from 1 species
GGGGAUUUAGCUCAGUGGUAGAGCGCUUGCCUAGCGCGCGCAAGGCCCUGGGUUCGGUCCCCAGCUCCG